AUUAUUGGAAGCCAUUUCUGCCUGUAGCCUAUGGUCUGAGAAUGUUUGACCAGAUCAAAUUAUUCGAGAGGCGUGUUUAAUUGCAGCAUUUUUUUGCCACAUUUUUUCUAAUACUAGAGUUUUUACACUGAGUACCAGAAAGUGAAAUCUUAGUAUUAGGAAUAAGACUCAAGGAGGUGCAAGUGAUAAUAAAGAACUCUAAUUCCUCAGCUUCCUCCCCAAAUAUUUUCUACUGCCUACCCCUUUUCAUGCCUCACAGAAAUAUGAUGAUACUUCACACCAUCUAUCAAUAGCAACUAGGAUUGGAAUGCACUGUGUGUAUAGGGAUAUGACUAAAGGGCAAGCUGGCAUGCCUGCUUAUUCUCUUGUUUGCUUGUGAGGCUAAAACAGAACAAUGUCGAUGGACAGAGUCCCAGCUGUUGCUAAGAAACAGAAGUUCAGAAGAAUUGACAACUUAAGGAGAAAGCUGACCCACUAAGGUCUUCAGCAUUAACUAAAUACAAAAGGAAUCUCCCCUAAAAGAAAAUCGGCAAGCAAUCCUUCACAGUAGAGCAGUUGCAUGCCAUAAAACCCCAAUGUCUGCAGUAGACCCAGACCACAGACUAUCUCAACUUCUCAGGCACCUCCCAUUCUCCAAUUCAAAGGAAUUUGCACCUGCCAUAAGAAAGAUGAAGACAUCACACAGAAGAGAAGAGAACUGAGGGAACUACAGAGAAAUGGAGCUAGAGCUGCUGGGUGAAGCUGACUCUGAGGCUUCUCAUAAACUCUGUGCUUCCAGUUGUGAAAAUAAAUGCAGUUCUCAUUUCUUCUCAUUUUUUAAACUAGGUGGGAUUGUGAUUACUACAAGUUGAGGCAUCCUAACUGAUAAAAUCCUAU
rnacentral:lncRNA from 1 species